rnacentral:rRNA from 1 species
AUGUUGGUAGCUUGCUUUGCCAUGCUCCAUGGCAUUGAGCCAUCUUCUUAUGAAUGCAUUGAAAAAGUUGAUGACAUAGUUGCUAGUCUGCGCUUAUUAUUCGAAGAAUAUGAAGUGGAAAAUGAGGCAUAUACACCAGAUGAAGAAUCUAUGAUUUCUAGAAUGAAAGCUCAUGCAAUCAUGAGUGUCUUCCAAAACAUUGUAGCUCAACAAAUGCCUGCAACAGCUAGACUUCAAGGUGAAAUAGAUCAAUACUUGAAUGAUGGAUUAGUGCCUUAUGUUGAGAAGUUCAACGUGUUGGAUUGGUGGAAAGUGGCUGGAACUAGGUAUCCAACCUUAAGGAAAGUUGCAAGGGACAUAUUUGCUAUUCCUGUUACAACGGUUGCUUCAGAAUCAGCCUUUUCUACAAGUGGCAGAAAGCUCAAUGACUAUAGAAGUCGAUUGACACCACAUAUGGUUGAGGUUUUAAUGUGCUCACAAGAUUGGCUUAGAAACAAGUUCAAAGAUGCUAACACAGGAGAAGCUAGCUUUUGGACUUGCCUUCAA